rnacentral:rRNA from 1 species
GACGAACGCUGGCGGCGUGCCUAAUACAUGCAAGUCGAGCGAAUGACGAGAAGCUUGCUUCUCUGAUUUAGCGGCGGACGGGUGAGUAACACGUGGGCAACCUGCCCUACAGAUCGGGAUAACUCAGGGAAACCUGGGCUAAUACCGGAUAAUCCUUCGAAUCACAUGUUUUGACGUUGAAAGGCGCUUCGGCGUCACUGUAGGAUGGGCCCGCGGUGCAUUAGCUAGUUGGUGGGGUAACGGCCUACCAAGGCAACGAUGCAUAGCCGACCUGAGAGGGUGAUCGGCCACAUUGGGACUGAGACACGGCCCAAACUCCUACGGGAGGCAGCAGUAGGGGAUCUUCCACAAUGGACGAAAGUCUGAUGGAGCAACGCCGCGUGAGUGAUGAAGGUUUUCGGAUCGUAAAACUCUGUUGUAAGGGAAGAACAAGUACGUUAGGAAAUGAACGUACCUUGACGGUACCUUAUUAGAAAGCCACGGCUAACUACGUGCCAGCAGCCGCAGUAA